AAGGGCACCACAAGAACGCGUGGAGCAUGUGGCUUAAUUUGACUCAACGCGGGAAAUCUUACCGGGUCCGGACACACUGAGGAUUGACAGGCAAUAUAUUAGCAUAAAGACUCGUCUUUAGCGCUAAUUGUUAAAUAUGCUAGUCCUUUCAUGAUUAUGUGAUAGGUGGUGCAUGGCCGUUCUUAGUUCGUGGAGUGAUCUGUCUGCUUAAUUGCGUUUCACUAAGGGCCCAUAAAUUCAAGGUAUGUUAGCAAAUGCUGCUCUAUUGACCCCUAAUAGGCUUAACUGUCUUUAGCGCGUGUCUCUACGAGUUCUUUAAAGCACUGCGCAUGCUGUUGGGUCCUGAAAGCAACGAACGUGACCGCAACGUCUUGUUGCCUCUCUAUAAUACCUUCUUAUUUUUAAUAAGAGUAUUUACCUGAGGCUAUUUUAAAACUAGACGGACCGCUGUUUCUUUCUUAAACCAGAGGAAGGUUGCGGCAAUAACAGGUCUGUGAUGCCCUUAGAUGUUCCGGGCUGCACACGUGCUACAAUGAUCAGUACAGUGAGCAUCUCAAUUUUAUAACACCGUAUUAAGCGCUUGGGUCGUAAUUGUUAGGCCUUUUAGGUUUUUUCAAUUGCGUUUCUCCAAUGCGCACGGUAAAGCCUGCUUCGAGAGUAAGUGGGUAAUCCAUUGGAAGUAAUGAUUUCCUUAUUUUUAUAAACAGCACACCAAUAUACGGCAUUCAUUCCCGAGACGGCUUAGUUCCGACUUUGUGCGAAUGUAUGUAUUCUUAUCCGUAUGUGCGAUUGUCAAUUCAUGGUGGGGACAGACCAUUGUUAAUUGUUGGUCUCGGUCUUACUAGG
rnacentral:rRNA from 1 species